rnacentral:lncRNA from 1 species
AGUGGAGUUGCUCCGCUUUAGCCGCUCUGCGCCGCCAGUCCGCCAACUCUAUGGCGUUUGGUCCUCCAGGCGGCACGACGCAUGCGCGCCGAGAAGCGGAAGUGGCGGGUUUGAAUUGUAACGGCUCUCCGCGGCGGGUCCGCCGCUCCUCAGUGCUAUUGGUCGUCCGGGCGGUCGUUAAUGAUGGCUUAACGGAGCUCCAACCACCUCUAUCCCCACCAGACAAAGGUGCUGCUCAGCACAAAUACACAUCCCCUGGCCGACUGCUAGGGGUUAGCACCUUGCUUAAUGUCUAUUCACACUGAUCCCUACGCCUUGACACUAACAUGACAUAACAGCUAUUCCCAUGCAGUAAAGUCCUAAAAGGAAAGUAGAACCAACAGCAUUUCACUGCAUGGUGCUUGCACUUCACUUGAAGCUAACAAGCAGCUGGAGGCCAACAACGCACCCGGAAAGUUCGAACCUAACCUUAGCACAGAAUCGUUUGAGUUGGAAGAGACCCUAAAAGGCCAUCUAGUCCAAAUCCCCCGCAAUGAACAGGGACAUACAUCUACAGCUCAGCUUGCUCAGAGCCCCGUCCAGCCUGACCUUGUACGUGUCCAAGGAUGGGACAACCACCGCCUCUCUGCACAACCUUGACCCCCAACUGAUCCCAGGACCCAAGGACGGGUGCAAUGCAGCUCAGUGGCUCUGCAGACACAGGGAACAGGAGCUCAGCAUUGCAAGGAGAUGGCAGCCUGCCCAGGGAAGGGUGAGCCAAGGACUGAGAAAUGCAAUGAGACAGCCCCCGUGUACCCGAGUCAUUCACCUUCAGCAGCUUGGCAAAGGCUUCCAACCCUGAAACACUGCGGGGCUGUUUUUACUGCUGCCGAAGCCAUACAAGUAAUUACUAUUCCUGAAUGAGCACAGCUUUUCUGGACUCCCUUUUAGAGAAGUCUGCACACAGCUCUUACCAUUAUUAACUGCUCUUGUAUAAACAAGGCUCUGAAGCUUAUGGCAGCUAAAGCAAGCUCCAAAAAUAGCUUGGCCAGGAGAGUUUUGAAGAAGGGGGUAAGGGCUAUGGGGCGUACAAGCUGGGUCGUGCAUUGUGAUGUUCCUCCCUUAAGCCCAAAGGACCUGGGUUCUUCCUUGGGUCUUUUUCCAGAUGUCCCAUUAGAAGCAGGGUUAUCAGCCUUGAUACCAAGGUUCCAUCUCCUAGACACAGGGAAAAGUCAAGGCCAUGCAAUGUGACGUCCAGAGACCCCAGAUGAAGAUGAUAAAAGGGGUGAAGUGGCAUUUAGCCCAUUAAAACCAGGAGCUUUGUGCUGCAAGAGGCAGGACCUGGGCUUCACCGUCGCACAUCCAAGUACCCACCCUCACCAUAACGUCGUGCAGUUGGGUGAUGCAAACAUUGCACCCCAAUGGCCCAACAGAGCCCAUCCACCCACUCCUCUGGGUGCUGCAGGGAAGGUCUGAGCAGCCAGGACCACGUUCUGCUCCAUCUUAAGCAGCUUCAGAUUUGAACCUGAGCAGCAAGUCACUGGGCAAGCUGGAAGGUUAAGAUGGAAGUCUGCCCUGUUGUAACCACAGGUGCUCGGGGUCACAUUUUUAGAGCCGUUUACAAACAGACCCUCUCUGUUCCCUUCCUGAGGGUACUCAGCAGUGCUAAAAAAAGAAAAAGAAAU